rnacentral:lncRNA from 1 species
GGGUCUCAUCUGCACCCCUUCAAUAUUCAGUUGUGCUAGGGUAGUCUUAGGCAACACGUUCAAGGAUGAACCUGUAUCUACCAGUACUCGAGCCAAAGUAACAUAUGUACACUGAAUGGAGAUAUGAAUCGCCAUAAUAUGUUCUCACCCAUUAUGGGGUAAAUCAUCAUUAGUGAACAUCAAACAACUAUUAGCAUUGAGAUUAGCAACCACAUCAUCAAACUGAAUAACACUGAUGUCUU